AUUGAACGCUGGCGGCAGGCCUUACACAUGCAAGUCGAGCGGUAACAGGGCGCUUGCUCCUGACUUCAGCGGCAGACGGGUGUGAUAUGCCUAGGAAUCUGCCUGCUAGUGGGGGAUAACGUCCGGAAACUUGCUCUAAUACCGCACACGUCCUGGAGGAAAAAAUGGGGGAGCUUCGCACCUCACGCUAUCAGAGGCGCCUAGGGCAGAUUAGCUAGUUGGUGGGGUAAAGGCCUACCAAGGCGACGAUCCGUAACUGGUCUGAGAGGAUGAUCAGUCACACUGGAACUGAGACACGGUCCAGACUCCUACGGGAGGCAGCAGUGGGGAAUUUUGGACAAUGGGCGAAAGCCUGAUCCAGCCAUGCCGCGUGCAUGAAGAAGGUCUUCGGAUUGUAAACUGCUUUAGGUCGGGACGAAGGGCCGUCAGUUAAUACAGUAGGGUCAUGACGUUACCGAAAGAAUAAGCACCGGCUAACUACGUG
rnacentral:rRNA from 1 species